UCUCUCUCUCUCUCUCUCUCGAUUAAAUAUAUGUUUUGGACGCAUCACUAGAUGUGCCCCCCACCUUCUUACCUUCUCUCCUAACUCAAUCUUUUGAUGUAUUAUUAAUUACUUUUCUUAUUAAAUCAUCUGCAAUUGCAAUUACUUUUGAGUCGGUGAAGGCAUCUAGAAUGGUCAUAGGGUCAAAGAUUUAAGAGCGUCUUUAAGAUAAAAAUUCUUGUAGAUUGUUUUGAUUGGACAUGCAGCAUUAUUUUUUGCAGUUAAAGGUCUAUUGAUCGGUCAAGUGAUUCAAAUUGAAUUCUCGCAUGGUUAUCGGUUUGGUCACUUUCAUGCGUUAAUCUUGAAUUUUACUGCAAUG
rnacentral:misc_RNA from 1 species